UACGGGGGGGGUAAGCGUUGUUCGGAAUUACUGGGCGUAAAGGGCUCGUAGGCGGCCAACUAAGUCAUACGUGAAAUCCCUCAGCUUAACUGGGGAACUGCGUGUGAUACUGGAUGGCUUGGAUUUGGGAGAGGGAUGCGGAAUUCCAGGUGUAGCGGUGAAAUGCGUAGAUAUCUGGAGGAACACCGGCGGCGAAGGCGGCAUCCUGGACCAAUAUUGACGCUGAGGAGCGAAAGCCAGGGGAGCAAACGGG
rnacentral:rRNA from 1 species